rnacentral:rRNA from 1 species
AGUCGUAACAAGGUUUCCGUAGGUGAACCUGCGGAAGGAUCAUUACAGAGUGAAGGGUCUUCGGGCCCAACCUCCAACCCUUGCGUACCUUAUUGACGUUGCCCCGGUGGGCCGCGGGCCUUCCGCCGCCGGCCUCGGCCGGAGAGCGCCCACCGGAGGACAUUCAAACCCUCGUAACUGGCGUCUGAGUAAAAAACAAAAUAAUCAAAACUUUCAACAACGGAUCUCUUGGUUCUGGCAUCGAUGAAGAACGCAGCGAAAUGCGAUAAGUAAUGUGAAUUGCAGAAUUCAGUGAAUCAUCGAAUCUUUGAACGCACAUUGCGCCCCUUGGUAUUCCGAGGGGCAUGCCUGUUCGAGCGUCAUGACUGACUCAAACCUCCGGUUUGGUGUUGGGCCCGCGCCCCCCUGGGGGCUGGCCUCAAUAGUCUGUGGCGGCCUCGCCCGGCUUCGAGCGCAGUGAUUUCUCUCGCUUUGGAGGCCGCGGUGGGAGCCCGCCAGCAAACAACCACAAGGUUGACCUCGGAUCAGGUAGGGAUACCCGCUGAACUUAAGCAUAUCAAUAAGCGGAGGAAAAGAAACCAACAGGGAUUGCCUCAGUAACGGCGAGUGAAGCGGCAACAGCUCAAAUUUGAAAUCUGGCUCCCUUGGGGUCCGAGUUGUAAUUUGUAGAGGGUGCUUCGGGUGUGGCUACGGCACAAGUUCCUUGGAACAGGACGUCACAGAGGGUGAGAAUCCCGUACGUGGCCGACGGCCUACGCCCGUGUGAAGCCCCUUCGACGAGUCGAGUUGUUUGGGAAUGCAGCUCAAAAUGGGUGGUAAAUUUCAUCUAAAGCUAAAUACCGGCCAGAGACCGAUAGCGCACAAGUAGAGUGAUCGAAAGAUGAAAAGCACUUUGGAAAGAGAGUUAAAAAGUACGUGAAAUUGUUGAAAGGGAAGCGCUUGCUACCAGACUUGCCCGCGGCCGAUCAACUGGUGUUCUCACCGGUGCACUCGGUCGUGGUCAGGCCAGCAUCGGUUUGGGCGGCGGGACAAAGACCUUGGGAAUGUGGCUUCCUUCGGGGAGUGUUAUAGCCCGGGGUGUAAUGCCGCCAGCCCGGACCGAGGACCGCGCUUCGGCUAGGAUGCUGGCGUAAUGGUCGCAAGCGACC